CCUUGUAAAGCCGCUCAACUUUUCAAUAAAAUAUUCUAAAUUGGCAAAACAAUAUACGCUCAAACAAUAUAUUUUUGAAAUCGGCACCAAGCAUCUCCACCUCCCUAUAUCUCAACCGAUGACCAAAAUAGCCGACACCGUCACAGUCGCUAACACCUUCACAAUCACCGGUUUCGAGAUUGUUACUGGCAUUUUUCUCCUUCACUUUCUUGUCUUCAUCGUCAAAGUAUUUUUCUUACCAGAAGAACCACUGCACAGUUGUACAACAACAGUAGAGGGACAACUACACAAUUGUGCAACAACUGCAGAAGGACAACUAUGAGUUCUGCUACAACAGUUUUAUUUUUUGGGUAAUUCAGAAGCAAAAAAGGUUUUAGGCCUACUUUACUGAAAGAUAUUUGGAAAUUUUCACCGGAGAAGACAGUUGAUGUGCUGUUUAAUAAAUGCCUCAAAGUAGCAACGCCACUUCAGGUGAACAGGUCAUACAGUUUGAUGUUCGAUAAUUUAGCAGUCGGAAGAUUUCAAAAUGAUGAGAAGUUGCGGAAAUUAUUUGAAGACUAUCAUUUUGGAUUAUUACUAUGAUGACAUUAGCUAUUUGGUCCAAAGAAUAUAUUUUUAUGUUUUAAGUUACGAUGAUAUUAAUAUUUUUGAUUAGUACUUCCUUUUGUUUGUUAAGAUUUAAUAAGAUAUAUUACAGUUUUUUGAAUUAAUAUUAAUAUAUUUUAUUA